rnacentral:rRNA from 1 species
AUGGCCAGAUCAGUGGCUGCGAUCUUGUUGGUGGCCGCGCUUGUGGUGGCCAUUGCUGUGCCGGCGGCCGGCAUGGAGUUCACCGACGAAGACGUCGGCUCGGAGGAGGCGUUGUUGGACCUCUACGAGCGCUGGUGCCACCUCCACCAGGUGGCACGCAGCCCCGCGGAGAAGGUGAGGCGCUUCUCCAUCUUCAAACACAACAUCCGGUUCAUCCAAGACUACAACCGGGGCGCGCCGCGCACCAAGCUCGGUCUCAACGUCUUCGCCGACUUGACCCACGACGAGCUGGGGGAGAUCCACGCUGGCUGCCACGAGCACCCUCCGGUAGUCCUCGUCCGCGACAUGCCUCAGCCCGCCAUCGACCUCAACGACCUCCCUCAGUACGUGGACUGGCGCGACAAAAACGCCGUCACGCGUCAAGGAUCAGGGGGACUGCGGCGCUUGCUGGGCUUUCGCAGCCAUUGGGGCUGUGGAGGGCAUCACCGCCAUCAGGACGGGAACGCUGGAGGAACUGUCGGCGCAGAUGUUAGUUGA